rnacentral:rRNA from 1 species
AUUGAACGCUGGCGGCAGGCUUAACACAUGCAAGUCGAACGAGUGGCGGACGGGAGAGUAAUGAUUGUGACUCUAACUUGUGGAGGGGGAUAACUACGGGAAACUGUAGCUAAUACCGCGUACCAUAGGAUGAGCCGAAGUGGGAUUAGGUAGUUGUAGGGGUAAAGGCCCACCAGGCCGACGAUCUCUAGCUGGUCUGAGAGGAUGCUCAGCCACACUGGGACUGAGACACGGCCCAGACUCCUACGGGAGGCAGCAGUGGGAAAUAUUGCGCAAUGGGGGAAAGCUGACGCAGCCAUGCCGCGUGAAUGAAGAAGGCCUUCGGGUUGUAAAGUUCUUUCGGUAGCGAGGCGUUAACUACAGAAGAAGCACCGGCUAACUCCGUGCCAGCAGCCGCGGUAAUUC